AAUGACCUCAUGUCUUUCUACCUGAAGCCUGCUAUACCAUUUGUUGCACACAACUUCUACAAUCUCUAUGGACUUUACACAAUGUACUUAAUAAUGAAAAGCACUGAAGAGAGAGGAAGAAACAGGGAAAAGGGAGACCAAGUCAUAUCAGGAUUUGAAUUUGAAAAUCAUCCAGGAAAUCAGGUAAGAAGGUGGAACGUCUUGCUCACUAGAGAACUGUGAUGCAAACAUUCAGAACACUUUCUCCACACUUUGUACCUCAAACCCUACUGUGUGCGGUGACCAACACUGGUAGAUCAGCAAAUCUGAUGGCACUACCACUCAAAGAGACGCAAAAUACAACUGUGAUGGUUAAUACCGAGUGCCAACUUGAUUGGACUGAAGAUUUACUGACUUCAUAUCGGCAUUUAAGUAUUGUUAACUUUAUGGUAUAGUAUUUGGGUUGGGGAUUUGUGCGUUUCUGGCUGUACGAAGGAUAGUUGUAUUAUGUUAGGCAUAACUAUGACCUUAUUAUUUUCUUUAUUUGAAGAUUAAGUAUGAUCUCAGGAGAUGAGUAUGGGUUCAAGUUGACAAAGGGUGGACUUACGAAGGUUAAUACUGAGUGACAACUUCAUUGGAUUGAAGGAUACAAAGUAUUGAUCCUGGGUGUGUCUGUGAGGAUAUUGCCGAAAGAGAUUAAUAUUUGAGUCAGUGGGUUGGGGAUAGCAGAUCCACCCUUAAUCUGGUGGCCACAAUCUAAUCAGCUGCUAGCGAAUAUAAAGCAGGCAGGAAAACGUGAAGAGGUGAGAUGGCCUAGCCUCCCAGACUACAUCUUUCUUCUGUGCUGGAUGCUUCCUGUCCUCAAACAUCAAACUCUGAGUUCUUCAGUUUUGGGACUCGAACUGGCUCUCCUUGAUCCUCAGCUUGCAGACAGCCUAUUGUGGGAGCUUGUGAUCAUAUAAGUUAAUACUUAAUAAACUAUUAACUUACAUAUAUAUCCUAUUAGUUCUGUCCCUCUAGAGAACCCUGACUAAUACAACAACCCGUUCUCAUCAUUUCUAUAACAGCUACACUGGUCCCUGCCAUCACAUGGAACUUUGUCUUAGUUUUUGCUUUUGCUCUCUUCCCUUUUGUCUAUUGCCUGUAUAGCAGCUGUGUAAUCCAGAAUAAAAACAUAAAUGAGAUUAUGUUACUCCUUUUCUCAAUGCAUUUCACUGAGAGUUGAAUGCAAAGUUCUUAACCUAGCCCACAAGGCUGCACAUGCUUGAAUGUCUCACAGCCUCUCUGAUCUCAUUUCCUAUCAUUUUUCUCCUCACUCGCUCUGUUCUAACCAUACUAGCUUAUCUCCCAUUCCUUGUACUUACUGAGUGCAUUCCUACUACAAAGGCUUUGCACUUGUUCUCUUUCCCUGAGAAGUGCUCCUUUGUAUAAUCAUGGGGCUCAUUCCAUGACUUCCUUCAGUGCUCUGCUCAGAUAUCACCUUUCCUAAGAUGCCUUCCUUGGUCACUCCAUAUACAAUAGCUGCCAGUCAUUCUUCAUUGUCCCUAUUCUGCUUUAUUUUUGUCAUAGCACUUAUCACAUCUGACAUAAUAUUUACUGAUUUUUUGUUUUAUUAUUUUCCUUCACUAGAAUAUUGGCUCCAUGAGGGUAGGGACAUUGAUCACUUUGGUCACUGCUGAAUCCCCAAGGCUUGGAACAUUCUGAAACACAGCUCUCAGUAAAAUUUUGUUGAAUCAUUGUAUUGUUAAAAAAGAAGAAAACUUAUUUUAGUCUUCAGACCCACUGAAUGAGGUACAUAUUGAACAUUAUCUCCCUCUACCUUGUAGGUGAAAAAUUAAGGCCCAGCAAAGCUAAGUAAGUUUUGGAGUUUAUUCAAAUGCAACUGCUUCUGGCUUUUAUUAUUACUGUUAUUAUUGGUUUUAAUUCUAGCCACUAUGCAAUGGUGACUCCUGCUGACUGAGCAGGCUUGCUGGGAAAAACAAAUGAGAUAAAGUGAAAAUAUCAACAGGCACAAUAUCUGGUAUACUUUUGGUGCUAGACCACUCUCUAUUUCUCUUCCUUUCACAUGAUUUCUUUUUACAUUUCUUUUAAUGUUUAAAUAUUAUAUUUUAUAUGUGCUUUUUAUUGUACACUGAUACAAAUUGCCUUUGUACAUAAGAAUGUUUAAAAAUUAUGAGUUACAGUAUGGGCAUCAUAGUGAGACCCUUACUUUAUCAAAAAUAAAAAAAUAAUAAUUAGCCUGUUAUGGUGGCAUGUGCUUGUAGUGCUAACUACUUGGGAGGCUGAGGUGGCAGAGUCGCUUGAGCCCAGGAGUUGAGGCUACUGUGAGCUAUGAUUGUGUCACUGUACUCCAACCUGGGUGGCAGAGCAAGAUUCUGUCUCAAAAAAAAAUUUUGUGAAUUAACAAAUUAGCAUUGACUUAUUUUUAUUAGAAAGGUCUUCUAUUGUAAAAUAUACUCAUGGUAUGUACACAAGACUAGACAAAGUCAGUUCUGGAACAAAAAAUAGUGUAAUACCUCUGAUCAUGAGUGUGCCUCACAGUCUUAGUCAAAUAGUAGUUUUACAGAAGAUAUUUUGAAAGACCAAACCAUUUCAUAGGUUGUUCAGAAAGUGUCAUUAAAUGUUAUACAAAAUAGAACAAAUGUGUCCUGGGAUAAAACCUAGAAAUAACCUGCAGUCAUUACACUGUCACUUCUCUGCCUCCAAGCCUGUGCUAUAAAAUUCGAUAAAAAGAGCACUGCAAAAUAGAAAUGAAAAAGUUUGAAUUCUCUCUUAUAGUUCUAUUCUAAAGUGAAGUAUAAAGUACAUAUUCUUUGGAAAAGAGGACCAGGUGAUAUAAGAAUUCCAGAGGAGGGCAGCAAAGAUAAAGAUUAACUCAGGUGAAAAGAACAGAGAAUCUUACUUUACAAAUCCAGUAAAUUUUCACAAUAGUAAGCGUUCUUAUGGUGGAGCAUCCCUUACCAUUCUGUUAUUCAUUGGUUUGCUAAAAUGAAGAAAUAUGAAACCACACAUAAUUAACCUCUUUAUCUUAAUCUGUUUCUGUAUCCAUUUAAGUAUAUUUGGAAGGCCUAUAGUUGUUUGCACUUCUAAAGAAUAUUAUGGUAGAGUUAUCACAGCUGGAGCUUAUAUGACUUAAUUUAGUCUUUUAUUCAGCAGAUAUUUAUUGACUGUCCACUAUGUGCAUUGCGUUAGAUGGUAGGGAUAUGACGUUUAAUUUCAUUGGAAAAAUAAUGCCUAAUUUCUUAAAGCUUUUACCUGGUUAGUGAAUUAUUUAUAAAUUGAAGUGCAUUGGCAGUUAUACCCAUUGAUAGCAUUGUCACUAUUCACUUAUAAUCUGAUAUGAAAAUGGAAUGAAGUUACAGCUGGCAGACCAGAACUUGUGUUUAACUCUGAACAUACCUAUAGGAAAGCAUGAUAUUUAGAGCAAAAACAUAAACAGCUUAAGAAUGGGGUUUUGUAAAAUACUUACCUUUGGUUCUAAUUUGUGUCUGUGUCACUAGAUGAUAGACUGGUUCUGGUGAAAAAAAAUAGACUAAAUAAAAUACUUUGAUAAAAACA